UCUUCUGUGAUGAUUAAACAGUAUGACUUUCGUUCUUCUGAGUCUACUGAAGACAAACUAUCUGUCCUGAGAAGA